CUGCUUUCUUUUGAUGGAUCAAGUUCAUAUUAGGAAAAGCAGUGAGUUACAAGGAUCCCCUACCAUCCAAAUCUAGUCAGUUCUGGAGCUUACACAGUGGCAGCUCAGAAGGGAACUGAAAGAGAACAAGAGAGAAGAUGGCAGGAAAGCAGCAGCAUGAAGUCAAUAUCAGAUCCUCCUUCCCUGGCCUCGCCUCAGGGUCCUUCCCUCCACAUCUGUUCCCAGGCCUGAAGGAAGGAACUCGAGAACCCACCCCAGCCACUCACCCUGUUGACGCCAAGUGAAAUUCUGCUUUGAGUGUCCACGCCUCUCCCAGAUAACUCAGUAGUAAAGUCUAAGCCCAUGGAA